AGAGACUGCAUCCUGAAACGAGGAAUUGCUCACAGCACGCCUUCAUUGACAGACUGAAAGAGGGCAGCUGCUUGUAAGUAGAUCAGAUUCUGUUUGCGAGACCAGCUGUUUUUGCUCACUUGUCUGAGCAAAGUAUUACAUCAUGGAUCAGAAGUCCACCUCCCCUCAAAGACAGCCCGUGAAAAACAGGUCUAAGUCCACAGAGGAAGUCCAGCAAGCCAAAAAGGCCUUCCACAUACCCCAGAAAUCAUUGCCUGGUGGCUCUGACCUCCUGGAGAAAGUGAAGGAGGGACCAGAAGAAAAUGUGACUCCAGCAUCAUCGACAGAAGAGCUGAAGUGAUGCUGCCAUUAAUCUGUGUUUAACACACACACACACACACACACACACACACUGCAGUCAGAUCAGUACAAUUACAGCAUAACGCAUUAUCUUUGGUGGAACAGAACUUCAUUAUUAAGUACAGCUCAGCACGCACACAAACUUACGUUUACUAGCAAAAUGAGGACAUACCACAGACUUCAACUGUUUUUAAUAUAUAAAGUUAAUUGUUAGUGCUAUAGACUAAAUCAGUAAUAUUUCCAUAUUAGGAAAAAACACACAUUUGUCUGAAUUGCUGUAAACUGUCAUGCUGUGUAUAUAAACUGACUGCUUACACUAUGAACGAGUGGCACGUGUGUUACAUUUGUAUCGCUUAAAUGUGUAUUGUAUUAACAGUGUCAUCGAAGCAUGUUUCAUACACUAAGAAAGCAUUCAGGACCGAGAACUGCAAGCUAAAUUCAUGCAUUGCUCAAAGCAAAUAAACUUGAUUCGAAGACUCACUUAAAGGACUUCCUUACAUGCAGAGAAAAGGAGUUUCAAGACUAGGUUUUUAAGGUAAACAACAGGAGGCAAAAGCAAGCAGUGAAGUUUUAUGAAUUCACAAAUCCAUGUUUUUGCAGC